GAACGGCAACCAUUCAAUGUUAAUAAGCAUUUUUUUUUACCUCCCUGGACAAACGUCCAGAGGAGGACGCCGUGUCCUAAAUCGAGGAGGAUUUCACAGUUAAUCAGGGAAGUGGCUGCAAAAGUCGACGCUGCAGCUGCAGCUGGUGCUGCUGAUGACCUUCAUUAACCUUUUAAAUGCCAGCGGCACCUCGCACAAAAAGCCUCCUUAUCAACAAAGGACACAAAUAGACAGCCUUUUUCAAAAAUUAAAUAUUUUCCAUGACUCAUUACGGUGUGAAAUUGACGGUUGGCACAAACUCGCCGGGAUCCACAUUCGUUCUGAACUCCGGAACCGGAGAACCGGAGAACAACAGGAGCAUGGCAUUUCAUCAUGUGUGCAGCAAGUCCGCGAACGAGCGAGCAGCACAAGGGUCCGGCGUGUAUACAUUAUUCGCUCCGGAGGUCAGCUGACAUGCCGUCAGACGUGGACGAAGCACAAGGGUGAGUUCUGGACACAUCUGCCAUGAGAAGCUUCAGAUCGGAUCAAUUUUAUUCCAGUUACACAGCCAGGUGGGUGAAGAAACACUCGUCGAAACAUAUAGUAUUUAGUUUGUUAGCUUUGUGGAUGUUUUGUGGACAUGAUCAAGGACAAAACAGUUGACGAAUUAGCAUGAGGGCAUAUUAAAACCGUGACAUG